rnacentral:lncRNA from 1 species
ACAGCGCUUCAAAAUAAAACGCCACUUCAAAAUAAAAGUCCCUUCAUAACAACACUACGCCACAAAAAAAAAACAUUUCAAUUACUUUUAAAUUUAGAUCUUUCUUUAAAUCGUGCAGGAACAACAGAUUCCGAGUAAGCAAUCCAGGUGCAUCUUGUUAAGACCGAUAAAUAUAAUUAACUUGCUCGUGUAAUUAAUUAGGACUAAUUACUAAUGAAUAUAAUUAAGAUCGACCGCUUCCGGAUUGACCGUUUUACAAACAAAACUAAAAAUGGCGUCAGUUACAGAAAACACAGAUGAAUCAAACACCCAAAUAAAAGAUAUUCCUGCAGAUCAGUGCCCUUCUGUGAGACAACUGGAGGCUCUUGAUGGGAAAAUCUCUGACAGACUAGAACAGAUCGAGCUCUGCACCAUGAUCCUGAAUGACCUGCUGGAAAUGCAGAAAAUAGUCGCUGAAAGAUGCCUUGAAAAUGCAUCACUUUGAGGACUGGAUAACUGAACCGUUUCCUUUCAGUAUUAGAAAUCUACAAGUAUGCAUAUAUAAAUAAAAUCUUAUUGUGACAAUGUGAUAGAGCAAUUUCUUUCUGAAACAAGUCAAAUAAUGUAACAACUCGGACAGGAUUUUACUGGUAUUGUAUUGCUUUUUGAUUCAAAAAGUUAUUACUUUGCCAUAAUACUUUAUACAAAACAAGCAUAUGAGAAAUUUCACAUUAUACAUUCUUUAAAAAUACAGAUCUUUACAGUUUCCUCACACUUUGGGUAUCAAAAGCAGUCCUUGUGGAAGCAUUUGUUUCCUCUUUACCUCAAGCUUCUGCGACUCCACUAACAUGCCAGACCAACUUCUCCUGUCUAGUGUCCUUGAUGCUGCCUGAACCCGAAGAAAUCCAGAAUAAGGAAAAGCAAUAGUUUAUUAAGCUAGUUUGUUGCAUUAAAUCAUAAGUUAAUGCCUUAAAAAGUCCCAUGUGUGAAUGAAAACGUAAUGAUGAUGGCACCUGAUGAAGGUGGAAUAAUAAUAAUAAUUAAAAAAAAACAUUGUAGGCUGUCAGUCGAUCUUGAGCAAGAACACAACCAGAAGGGUUGACAGUCAAGCAAGUAGUUCUUUCACCAGUAUUUUUCCAACAAUAAAACAAAUGCAAGAUUUUCAUGUCAUGUGGGGGUCAAUAAAAAAAAAAAUACAUUGAAGCAGCAAUAAUUUUCAACAGGAAAAAUAUACAUAUACACAUAUAACAUUGCAAUGCCCAGAUACAAAACAAAACAGAUGAAGUCACACCAAACAUAACUGUACACAACAAACAUUGAGACUUAAGAAAAAAAAAAGGCUUUUAAAUUUGAAAUACUCAAUGCAAUAGGACACGGCUGUUUCUCUAAAUGAUGACUUGCAUACUAAAAUGACCACUGAAUGCUAACACGCACGAUAUUUUGCUUAUGAACAUGUACAGAUGGAGUGAUUUUAUGUUUUUUCUAUAUGCUCCAUGACAUUGCAUAGUUGCUUAUUUUUGUUAGGUGAUGAAUAAUAACUGCCUUCAAUCAAAAUGAAUAUUUCAUGUAAAGUAACUUGUCAAAACUAGAGUCCUAUGCGAAAUAUGCGAACAAAACAAGGCCGGAAAGCAUGUGCAUUAUUAUAAUUAUUAAGGUACGGUUGAUCAUUAUAUUGGCUGGACCCCAAAGUAAGUGCAUUUAUUAGGGAAAAACUGUGUCGUUCAGACAGAUCGCAUUAUAAUGUUCUAGUACUAGGUUUGCACAGGUCCCAUUAAUAGAUAUUUAAAAAGAAAAUGUAGUGGAUAAAUAACAAAGCAACUGAUUAACAUUUUGGGAGCGACGUACACAGAGCUACCAGCGCAAUGAAGCAUCACUGUCAGUUCACCGUUUAAUUUGGCACUGGAUAGGAAAAGACUCGCUCGGUAAUAUCUAUCCGAUUCAAAUUCUCCAUAUCUAGUCCAUGCUGAAAUGAAAUAACUAUCACGAGUUGUAAGGCAAUUCUUGUCCUACUUGAGUCUGAAACACAAGGAUCUGCGGAGAACUACAUACUGCAUAAGAGAUGCACAGGUGACAGUAAAGGCAGUGCAGAGUCACGUCUCUCAUCUCAUCUCACACCCAAAGUCUGAUUUCUCAUAGUUCUAUACAAAAAUACAAAUACAAUCUAAAGGCUUAAACAUUUAUCAUCUCAAAUGUACUAUGUAUUUACAUGACGGUCAUCUCUUUAGAACCUCUAUACAGCAGUGGUAUAUAAAUGAGGGGCAAACGAGCGGCGUUGAACCGUGGCUGGGUAGUGCACUACAAGCA